rnacentral:rRNA from 7 species
GCGACCCCAGGUCAGGCGGGACUACCCGCUGAGUUUAAGCAU